rnacentral:tRNA from 1 species
UCAGUUGGUAGAGCUCCGCUCUUGCAAGGCGGAUGUCAGCGGUUCGAGUCCGCUUAUCUCCA